rnacentral:rRNA from 1 species
CCUACGGGAGGCAGCAGUGGGGAAUAUUGGGCAAUGGGCGCAAGCCUGACCCAGCAACGCCGCGUGAAGGAAGAAGGCUUUCGGGUUGUAAACUUCUUUUGGCAGGGAAGCAAAGAAGACGGUUCCUGGCGAAUAAGGCACGGCUAACUACGUGCCAGCAGCCGCGGCAAUACGUAGGUGGCAAGUCUUGUUCGGAAUUACCGGGUGUAAAGGGGGUGUAGGCGGGUGGGGAAGUCCGACGUGAAAACCCGCGGCUUAACCGACGUACUGCAGUUGAAACUGGUGGUCUUGAGUACUGGAGAGGCAGGCGGAAUGCGUAGUGUAGCGGUGAAAUGCGUAGAUAUUAGGAGGAACACCAGUGGCGAAGGCGGUAUGCUGGACAGCAACUGACGGUGAGGCGCGAAAGCGUGGGGAGCAAACAGGAUUAGAUACCCUAGUAGUC